rnacentral:rRNA from 1 species
UACAAUAUCUGGGAUGCUCAAUCUGAGUUCCCAACAAAACACAUUCAUGGGUAUCCUUCCAUGUUGCUUCCCCAGGUCAAUGGUCAGUAGUUACCGUCUUGGCCCAUAACAGGGUAUCCAGCUGGUCUACGGCCGCGUGUGCCUGGGAAGGUCCAAAUUGGCAAAACUUUAUAUUAACUUUACCGUCUGACAAGGCCAUGUGCCACUGUAUUUAAACAUUUUAAAACUUUCAACAACGGAUCUCUUGGCUCUCGCAUCGAUGAAGAACGCAGCGAAAUGCGAUAAGUAAUGUGAAUUGCAGAAUUCAGUGAAUCAUCGAAUCUUUGAACGCACAUUGCGCCCUUUGGUAUUCCUUAGGGCAUGCCUGUUCGAGCGUCACUAAAAACCCCGUCACAUUAUGUGUGGUAUUGGCAGAAGUGGGUAGUCCCACCCUGCUGGAAUGAAUAGGCUGGAAAAGUAGACCAUAGCAACAGACUUUCAGAGUGUUUUUAAAUGCUAAAUUAGUUUGAAGCCGGUUGGAACCCCAGGCCAUUUGACCCCCAUUCUGCAUGAAGCAGUAAGGUUGACCUCGGAUCAGGUAGGGAUACCCGCUGAACUUAAGCAUAUCAAUAAGCGGAG